rnacentral:lncRNA from 1 species
UUUCAUCACACUGCGUCCAACAAUAGUUUUUCUUCGGCUGCAUAAAUUUCCAAGGUGCCUCGGGAGAGUAAGUUCGGGUUGUGUCUUUCAUCCACUAAACAUCCUUCCCUCACGCCUCUGGUUUUUAUCCAUCAAUUUGUAACCCAACACCCAAACAGUUGAAAAUAAAAGAAAUCAAAGUUAACUUAAAAAAAAUGAAAAAAAACCAAAACGGAAAAUAAAUUAAAACAAU